rnacentral:lncRNA from 1 species
CUUGGGCUUCCCUGGUGGCUCAGAUGGUAAAGAAUCUGCCUGCAAUGUGGGAGACCUAGCUUCGAUCCCUGGGUUGGGAAGAUCCUCUGGAGGAGGGCAUGGCAAUCUACUCCAGUAUUCUUGCCUGGAGAAUCCCCAUGGACACAGGAGCCUGGUGGGCUCCAGUUCAUGGGCUUGCAAAGAGUUGGACAUGACUGAGAUUCUAAGGACAGCACAGUACAGCCCAUUCUGAGUUGUGGAGGGACGAAGAAGAAUCAGAGAUGUAGAAAGGUCUUUGGUCCUUAGAUCAGACAAAUGUCGGCUGACCAGGAACAUUUAUUUCCAGUUGAGAAUUUACUGUCACUGAAGCUGACGAACAGCCUCCCUUUUCACUACAACCAUAAAAAGGAUUUGCUGAAUGAAUCUCUUACACAAACAAAAGAUCAAUGUCUGACCUGGGUGCCUGUCUCCCUCCUUAAUUUGUAUGUUCAGGUAUAUUUUCAUUAUAUCUUUUUCUGCGUGUAGUAGUAAUAAAAACUAAUGUAAAAUACAGCCACCAGCCAGUCUGGGCAUUUGAUGCAAAUGUAGGUUUGGUAAAUGUCUGUGUUGUAAUGCGCACUCAGUUGCUCAGUCGUGUUAGAUCUUUGGUAACCUAAUGGACUGUAGCCCACCCGCCAGGCUCCUCUCUCCAUGGGACUUCCCGGGCAAGAAUACUGGAGCGGGUUGCCAUUCCCUUCUCCAGGGAAUCUUCCCCACCCAGGGAUCAAACCUGCGUCUCUUGUGUCUCGUGCACUGGCAGGUGGAUUCUUUACCACGAGCACUACCAGUGUGGCGUAGCUUGGGAUGGAAGUGCCUAGACUGACUAGGGCAGGAAGCUCUGGGUCAGGACCCGCUGCCCCGGCAAGGAAGUGACACAGAGAAUAACAACAAAACAGCCCACAACGUGGAUGCCAGGAGGGAACAGGAAGUGGCUUGAGAAAAUAAACCCAGCUCACUGGGCCUGUGGAUGGCACCCUCUCCACGCCAGAAAGCGGCAAGCUGGCUUGGAGAAAUAUAUCCUGGCGGGCCCCAUUUUCUCCAGAGUCCAAUGGGGCAAACAACAGUCCCAGCUGGAUUCAACGAAGAGCUUAGAAGAUUCAUUUGAAGCAGCCCACAGGGAAGGGUGUCGCUGA